GAGACCGGCAAACCUCGCGAAAGCGUGGGGCGCAAAGCUAAAGGGGCUUCCCCGCCGCGGGGCGGAAUGCCAGCCAGUUGCCG
rnacentral:ncRNA from 1 species